rnacentral:rRNA from 1 species
AUGAACGCUAGCUACAGGCUUAACACAUGCAAGUCGAGGGGCAGCAUGGUCUUAGCUUGCUAAGACUGAUGGCGACCGGCGCACGGGUGAGUAACACGUAUCCAACCUGCCGUCUACUCUUGGACAGCCUUCUGAAAGGAAGAUUAAUACAAGAUGGCAUCAUGAGUCCGCAUGUUCACAUGAUUAAAGGUAUUCCGGUAGACGAUGGGGAUGCGUUCCAUUAGAUAGUAGGCGGGGUAACGGCCCACCUAGUCUUCGAUGGAUAGGGGUUCUGAGAGGAAGGUCCCCCACAUUGGAACUGAGACACGGUCCAAACUCCUACGGGAGGCAGCAGUGAGGAAUAUUGGUCAAUGGGCGAGAGCCUGAACCAGCCAGGUAGCGUGAAGGAUGACUGCCCUAUGGGUUGUAAACUUCUUUUAUAAAGGAAUAAAGUCGGGUAUGGAUACCCGUUUGCAUGUACUUUAUGAAUAAGGAUCGGCUAACUCCGUGCCAGCAGCCGCGGUAAUACGGAGGAUCCGAGCGUUAUCCGGAUUUAUUGGGUUUAAAGGGAGCGUAGAUGGAUGUUUAAGUCAGUUGUGAAAGUUUGCGGCUCAACCGUAAAAUUGCAGUUGAUACUGGAUAUCUUGAGUGCAGUUGAGGCAGGCGGAAUUCGUGGUGUAGCGGUGAAAUGCUUAGAUAUCACGAAGAACUCCGAUUGCGAAGGCAGCCUGCUAAGCUGCAACUGACAUUGAGGCUCGAAAGUGUGGGUAUCAAACAGGAUUAGAUACCCUGGUAGUCCACACGGUAAACGAUGAAUACUCGCUGUUUGCGAUAUACUGCAAGCGGCCAAGCGAAAGCGUUAAGUAUUCCACCUGGGGAGUACGCCGGCAACGGUGAAACUCAAAGGAAUUGACGGGGGCCCGCACAAGCGGAGGAACAUGUGGUUUAAUUCGAUGAUACGCGAGGAACCUUACCCGGGCUUAAAUUGCAGAUGAAUUACGGUGAAAGCCGUAAGCCGCAAGGCAUCUGUGAAGGUGCUGCAUGGUUGUCGUCAGCUCGUGCCGUGAGGUGUCGGCUUAAGUGCCAUAACGAGCGCAACCCUUGUUGUCAGUUACUAACAGGUUCCGCUGAGGACUCUGACAAGACUGCCAUCGUAAGAUGUGAGGAAGGUGGGGAUGACGUCAAAUCAGCACGGCCCUUACGUCCGGGGCUACACACGUGUUACAAUGGGGGGUACAGAAGGCCGCUACCACGCGAGUGGAUGCCAAUCCCCAAAACCUCUCUCAGUUCGGACUGGAGUCUGCAACCCGACUCCACGAAGCUGGAUUCGCUAGUAAUCGCGCAUCAGCCACGGCGCGGUGAAUACGUUCCCGGGCCUUGUACACACCGCCCGUCAAGCCAUGGGAGCCGGGGGUACCUGAAGUGCGUAACCGCGAGGAGCGCCCUAGGGUAAAACUGGUGACUGGGGCU